rnacentral:rRNA from 1 species
CCUACGGGUGGCAGCAGUGAGGAAUAUUGGUCAAUGGGCGCGAGCCUGAACCAGCCAAGUCGCGUGAGGGAGGACGGCCCUACGGGUUGUAAACCCCUUUUGCCGGGGAGCAACGGGCGUCACGUGUGUCGCCACAGAGAGUACCCGGAUAAAAAGCAUCGGCUAACUCCGUGCCAGCAGCCGCGGUAAUACGUGGGAUGCGAGCGUUAUCCGGAUUUAUUGGGUUAAAAGGGUGCGUAGGCGGAUCGUUAAGUCAGUGGUAAAAUUGAGGGGCUAAACCCCUUGCGGCCAUUGAAACUGGUGUUCUUGAGUGGAAGAGAAGUGUGCGGAAUGCGUGGUGUAGCGGUGAAAUGCGUAGAUAUCAGGCAGAACCCCGGUUGCGAAGGCGGCAUGCCGGCUUCCGACUGACGCUGAAGCACAAAAGCGUGGGGAUCGAACAGGAUUAGAUACCCCUGUAGUC